rnacentral:rRNA from 1 species
GCUAAGAAUAUUCCGCAAUGGACGAAAGUCUGACGGAGCGACGCCGCGUGGAUGAAGAAGGCCGAAAGGUUGUAAAGUUCUUUUGUUGGGGAAGAAUAACCAUGGGAGGGAAUGCCCGUGGGAUGACAUGAACCGACGAAUAAGCCCCGGCUAACUACGUGCCAGCAGCCGCGGUAACACGUAGGGGGCGAGCGUUGUUCGGAAUUACUGGGCGUAAAGGGCAUGUAGGCGGUCUUGUAAGCUUGGCGUGAAAGACCACGGCUCAACCGUGGGAUUGCGUUGAGAACUGCGAGGCUUGAGUGACGGAGAGGGAGCUAGAAUUCCUGGUGUAGGGGUGGAAUCUGUAGAGAUCAGGAAGAAUACCAAUGGCGAAGGCAAGCUCCUGGCCGAUGACUGACGCUGAGGUGCGAAAGUGUGGGGAUCAAACAGGAUUAGAUACCCGUGUAGUCC